AUGCGAGAGCGCUGUCUAAAAUAAGCUUCUUCAAUCUUCCUGAGGAAUUCCCACUUAGCAUGCAUUUCUCUCUCCUGGUGGAAAAGGUCAGUGGAUGGUGUAGACAUUGCCUGAACCUGCACAUCUUGAAGCAAACGGGAUGUGAAUUUCCAGCCAAGUCCCAAGCAGAUCCAAUCGUUUGGAGAAAGAGAGGGUGGGAUGUGAGGAAGUUGAAAAACUUAAAUGGUUUUGUGCCAGCAGAGGGAAGAGAUGCAGCAAGAUUGAGGAGGCAAGGAGAAUGGUCAGAGAAUUCUGGGGCUAGGAAGGAAGCAACGCUGUUAGGGUGAAAAGAGGGCCUUGAUACCGAAGGUCAAACAGCUCCAUCUGAAGGAGGCAAUCACGAAGCUCUAGCAUACGGGAGGUGAGGUGGUUGACCAACAGAUUUGAGUGCUCUGCGGGGUGUACUAUUUGGUUGAAAUCACCACCAACAAGCCAAGGGUUGGAGUCUAGGUGGAAUCUUUGCUGAAUCCCCAUGAGUUCGCACCAUAAAUCAGUGCGUUCGUCACUCAGCAUACUUACUGUGGCAGGAGAUUUCCAGAUGAUUACAAUUCUCCCAUCCUCAUCAGAGUUGUGAUUGGACAGAUAAUGCCAGCCAGGACAGG